rnacentral:ncRNA from 2 species
UAAAACGUGGUUCGUUGACCAUCCCACGAAAAAAAACUAGGAGGAA